rnacentral:rRNA from 1 species
CUGGUUGAUCCUGCCAGGUGUCGUAUGCUUGUCUCAAAGAUUAAGCCAUGCAUGUAUCAGCACAACCCUUACGGGAAAGCCGCGAAUAGCUCAUUACAACAGUCGCAGUUUACAAGAGAGUUACACAGUGGAUAACUGUGGUAAUUCUAGAGCUAAUACAUAUGACAAACCCUGACUAACGCAAGGGUGAAUUUAUUAGAACAAAGCCAAUCAGACUUCUGUCUGUCUCAGGUUGACUCUGAAUAACUUUUCUAAUCGCAUGGUCUUUGUACCGGCGAUGUAUCUUUCAAAUGUCUGCCUUAUCAACUGUUGAUGGUAGAUUAUGCGCCUACCAUGGUUGUAACGGGUAACGGAGAAUCAGGGUUUGAUUCCGGAGAGGGAGCCUGAGAAACAGCUACCACAUCCAAGGAAGGCAGCAGGCACGCAAAUUACCCACUCCCGGCACGGGGAGGUAGUGACGAAAAAUAACGAGACGGUGUUCUAUGAAUGUCGUCAUCGGAAUGAGUACAACGCAAAUACUUUAACGAGUAUCUAUUGGAGGGCAAGUCUGGU